rnacentral:lncRNA from 1 species
UUGAUUUUUUUUUUCUUUAAACCAUAAAUCUAGUAUUUAUAAUAAAAAUAAUUUUUGAAAAAUAUAAUCUUCGUAAAGUAUAUUUGGUCUACAACAUGAAUGGGUAUAAAUAAUUAAUUAGUUGUGCUACAUUGUCCUCAUUGUUAAUUAUAAUAUUUCUUAUAAGAGCAUUUAGAACAAUUAACAUUAUUAUAUUAUCAUCAAUAUUCAUAAAGCUAUCACUUAAAUUUAAAAAAAGAAUCUAAGAUGUUGAUGUUUUCUUGCAUAUCUUUAAAAACUUAUCAACUUAAAAUUUUCUUUAAACCAAAUUUGUUGUUAAACAAAUCUUACAAUAUUGUCAAGAAAGUGUGAUUUUUUGCAAAUGUAACAUGUUUUUAAUUACUUUUUACAUCCAACUAUAUAAUCUAUUUCAUUGAAAGAUAUCAAUUUAAAAUUCCAAACAUGAAAUGAUAAAUCUUAGUUUUAAAACAACAAAGACCAAAAAAUGUAAACACAAUUAAGCAUUUCAAAAUAAACAUAACAAUCACAAUCACAAACCAAAUACAAUCUUGUAUUGUAUUUUUAUAUAAAAAUAAAAAUAAAAUAGUCUACUGUAAUUAAAAAAAAUCCUCCAAAUAUUUAAAUGUAUAAGAAUUUUUUAUUGCCAAUGUUAUGAUAACCAUUAGUUAUGAUAUUACAUUAGUUAUGAUAAUCAUUAAAAGUAUCUAUCUAAAUGUCCUACUUCUAAUUCUCUUUUUUACUUCACAAUUUAAUAAUGUGUUGAUAGUCUAAUUAAUAUAUAUAAUACCUUACAACUUUGUAGAAGUGUGGCAACAAAAGAUAAUAGUUCAAAUUUAAAGAUUCUAAUCACCUUCAAAGAGCAAGUUGGUAUGUCAAAAAGCUUAAAUUAAAUUAAUUCUAUACUUGUAGGUACAACAUCAUCAAUCAUUGCAUACAAAUUUUUAGUAGAUUUUUACUACAACAAAGCAUUUAAAUUCUAAGUGUUUUAUUGUGACGUGAACCAACAUUCAUCUAUUAAAGUCAAAGUGUAUUCAUACCUAAUUUAAAACAAUAUUUUUUUAUAUUUUUUAAUAACAAUGUAAACACUUGUCAUACUAAAACAAUUCACAAUUCUCUCCAUGUUAACACACUAUGACACUCAACAUCAACCAACUUAUUUCACACACCACCUACCUUUUCACACACCAUCCACCUAUUUCACAAAAUUAAAGCAUUAAAAUUAAUAAGUCAAAACGUACAUUCUAAAGAAACUAAACCACAUAUGGAAGCAUCAUUAAAUAGCCAUACUUGUUAUUGAUUAAAGUUAUUUGGACCUUGGUUAUAAAUGGUAGCAAUACUAAAGAAUAAUAAUUCAAGGUAUAUAUACUUUUUGAAAAAUUUGACAUUCUUUAGGAUCACAAAGCGUUGAGUCUUGUUAAUAUAUUCAAAUAUUUCAAAUUUAUCCUUAAUAGUGAUAAAGAAUUUAAAAUUGGUGCUUAUAUAUUGUCUUAUUCUUUAAUAUAUUGUAACAUAUACUACUUUUUAAAAUUUCUAAAUAUAAUGCUUCAAAUACUUAAUUCUAAUAAUAUUACAAAAUUAUUUGUUUUUGAUAAUUCCAACAAAUACAAAAUAUCCAAAGUUGAAUUUGACAAAGUUAUUAAUAAUCUACAAUUACUUCUACAAAAUAUUGAAAUGAUGCUUUUUAAGAUCAUUUUAAUGACAUGGUCAAGAUACACACUUCAUAGUAUAGGCCUUAUGAUUCAUCUUGUGCAACCAUGGUACUAACCACAUCAAUUUUCACACCACCCACCAAAUUUGUGAAAACAAAGAAUUCAACUUUGUUACAUUGAAUUCAAAAUUCAAAGAUUGCAAAGAUCUUAUGUAGUAGAUGUCACACAAUUAUUGAUUGUUAAAUUACUCACCUUGCAAGAUUGGUGAUGCAUUACAUAUGUUAAAAAAAAUUCAACAAGUUUUUUCUUUCAUAAAAAUUAUGUCAAUUACAAUGACAAACAUCUAUUUUUUAUUGAUUAUAUGCCAAAGGUAACAAAGGAUAGAAAAUUACUAAGUUAAGAAAUGCUCUACUGAAUUGCUUUAUUUUUAUAAAUUUUACAAAAAUUAUCCACUUAAAUUUUUUAGAUACUAUACUAUACUAUACUAGUAAUUGAGAAUUAUAUUCUCUCACAACCACUACAACCACCAUUCACAUUCACAUUGUCUGAAGGAGCACACUAUCAACAAAAAAUUCACCAAAACAAUUGCACAACAAACAUCAUCCAAUUUUUGCCACUAAGGUAUCCACAACUUAGCACAAAGACUUCAAAUUGGUGGACUUGUUACUAAACAGAAAUCAACAUCACAACAAGAAGCCAUAUCUGCAUCUUACAACACAUUGCCACAAGGUAACCAUCCCACAUCAGUACCCUUAAAUUAAUCAAGAGCAUCGAGAGAGCCACUAAGCAGCAGUAGAGCCUAUGUGGUUUCCACCAACCCAAGAUGCCAACUCAUCAUUUCCCCUAAAAGUUAAACCCAUCUUUCUCCUCUCCCCUACCAAGUCACUUUCUUCUAUGAAAAGCUUUUUUGUUCCCAAAUAUCUUGUCACCUAAACCUUCCCCCCAUUUUUAUCCAUGAGAAGUGCAAUCACCCAUACAGCAAUGGGAUUGUGAUCCCCACACACCAACAUUUAAAUCUUCGCUAUUUUAAAUUACAAAGGAGGCAACGAUUCAGUACAGGGGACAAACGCGACAAACGAUAGUUCCCAAAAAAACGAAGCCAAUGCAAAAACCACACAUGCAUUAUUCAAAAAUCAAUGUAAAUUACUGCAGGAAAAUCUGUAAUCCAUAACCUCCUCUAAACCUUCAAGAGCCAGUGACACAUAACGCACUUCCCAGUAAGCAGCUCCUUGGUACUACAUACACCUAAGCCCAUGUACACUUUCCUAGCCAGUCCCCACUUUACAAUAAUUUGAGAGUACAUGAGGAAAACUCUCACCUCCCAUCCAACCCCUGCACCCUACAAAUUUCCUCUGCACAUCAACAAUGCAUGUCGAACGCUUCAAUUGAUUCAAUCAGUUCUUGCUCCAUGAAGAUCACUAUCCAAAAAUGCAUACUUAUCUACUCGUCUGAGCUACUAAAAUCUCCGCAUCCAACCUCUGCUCCUCUCACCAUCCUCCACCACUUCUCCCAACCGCAACCACCACCACACCAAUCUCCAGACUCNNNNNNNNNNNNNNNNNNNNNNNNNNNNNNNNNNNNNNNNNNNNNNNNNNNNNNNNNNNNNNNNNNNNNNNNNNNNNNNNNNNNNNNNNNNNNNNNNNNNNNNNNNNNNNNNNNNNNNNNNNNNNNNNNNNNNNNNNNNNNNNNNNNNNNNNNNNNNNNNNNNNNNNNNNNNNNNNNNNNNNNNNNNNNNNNNNNNNNNNNNNNNNNNNNNNNNNNNNNNNNNNNNNNNNNNNNNNNNNNNNNNNNNNNNNNNNNNNNNNNNNNNNNNNNNNNNNNNNNNNNNNNNNNNNNNNNNNNNNNNNNNNNNNNNNNNNNNNNNNNNNNNNNNNNNNNNNNNNNNNNNNNNNNNNNNNNNNNNNNNNNNNNNNNNNNNNNNNNNNNNNNNNNNNNNNNNNNNNNNNNNNNNNNNNNNNNNNNNNNNNNNNNNNNNNNNNNNNNNNNNNNNNNNNNNNNNNNNNNNNNNNNNNNNNNNNNNNNNNNNNNNNNNNNNNNNNNNNNNNNNNNNNNNNNNNNNNNNNNNNNNNNNNNNNNNNNNNNNNNNNNNNNNNNNNNNNNNNNNNNNNNNNNNNNNNNNNNNNNNNNNNNNNNNNNNNNNNNNNNNNNNNNNNNNNNNNNNNNNNNNNNNNNNNNNNNNNNNNNNNNNNNNNNNNNNNNNNNNNNNNNNNNNNNNNNNNNNNNNNNNNNNNNNNNNNNNNNNNNNNNNNNNNNNNNNNNNNNNNNNNNNNNNNNNNNNNNNNNNNNNNNNNNNNNNNNNNNNNNNNNNNNNNNNNNNNNNNNNNNNNNNNNNNNNNNNNNNNNNNNNNNNNNNNNNNNNNNNNNNNNNNNNNNNNNNNNNNNNNNNNNNNNNNNNNNNNNNNNNNNNNNNNNNNNNNNNNNNNNNNNNNNNNNNNNNNNNNNNNNNNNNNNNNNNNNNNNNNNNNNNNNNNNNNNNNNNNNNNNNNNNNNNNNNNNNNNNNNNNNNNNNNNNNNNNNNNNNNNNNNNNNNNNNNNNNNNNNNNNNNNNNNNNNNNNNNNNNNNNNNNNNNNNNNCGAGGCACUCUUUCCACCCGGAGUCUCCGAUCAGCAACAGCUUGAAAAGGUAAUCACUGCCAAAAACCACCACCCACGUCCAUCAGUCACGACUCAUCAUGCUCCUCAUCCUGUGGGCCAAAUUCUGCUCGUUUGUCACCAUCAAUUCAUAUCUGCAUACACCACCAUAACCCAUCCCAACCACCUCCUGCACCUUUCUUGAUCAGACCCACCACGCUUUACCAAGUUUGAACCCCACACCGAACAUGCCCGGACACAAUUCACCCAAACCCUCAAAACCACGCUACACUACCCAUCCACCGCUGCCCGGCGCAACAUUUGGCACGCGUAUUCACACACUCCACGACAUAAACCCUAAAACGACAAGAUCACUCCGCACACCCUCCCGAAGAUUUGCUCUUAUCGUGCGCGAUAGUCAAGCGACCAUCAAACUACCACCUUGUGCAGACCACGUCCCAAAUACACACACAGUGCCCAGCAACUUCAACAAUCAAAAGCUUCGUCCAACUCAACAAGUCUAACGUCCAGUACGCCACUGACCAUUCCACUCCGACAUCCAACAACAUCUCGCAGGUCUUCCACCGAUGGCGAAGGGGUUGAGCAACCGACAAUGUUCCAGCGACACGCACUUUACCAUCCAUGGUUGUACAAUCCCAUCACCCUUUCACAGCGAAAACCACUCCACAGGUCGUUCGAUACUCUCUACCAACCCACCGAAGCCUUAAUUGUCAUGCUUUGCACGCCAUAACAUGCCCCUCAUAAGGACUCCGAAAACAAAAUCACGCUUCGACACAGACAAAUCGUCAAAAGCACUCAGCUACAUAUACGUUGCAAACAAACUAAUUGAGACUUUCAAAAGUCAAAAUCACAAAAAAAAGAAGAAAAGUCGGGGUUCUCAAGACUCUGAUAAAGCUUCGCUUCUGACACCAAGACCACCAUCUUCUAACCACGCAUGCAUCUGAAGCUACUCUGUCCACUCACACAUGUACCAUAACACACCCACACUCCCCGUUUCCACAAUGUCAUGCCACCACCCCAAUCCCCACCAGCUCUACCAUCGAACUUUCUCACAAUCUACAUUCAGACCACCCACACAACCUCAAUGAUCCAUCCAUUCCACUACCAGUACUUCAAACACACACACACACACACACACACACCUUCCCAACCCCCACUUUCCAUGCUCCACACACACCAUCACGAUCAACUCAUCGACAUCUCCACAAAUGCCACACAAACAUCCCAAAGGUCCUCCAUAACCACACAUCCCCGAACUAACCCAACACAACCCUCUCUACACCACCACCACCACAAGAACUGCACUACCAACACCAACACCAACACAACUUCUCACCAAAUACCCAAAACACACACACACACACACACACACAAACACUCACUAUUCGGGAUUCAUGGUGCCUUUCUUUCGGAUCGGCCUUCUGGGCUAUCUCCCUGCCUUCAACCAAACUUCUGCCACUCCCCGAUCUGCACCCCACUUCAGCAAGGAACACAACGCCGAUCCGAGAUCACGACCGACACAAAAACUGACCCCAGAACGACAAAGACGCAAAGGAAGACGAGGCCACAGACAGGAAAGUGUUGAAAGGGGAAGGGUCGUUGUGAAGGGGUCGUGGCUCUAGCUCAGGCUAUGGCGUCAAGCUUGUGGUUCUAGUGGCAUCAAGCUUAUGGUUCUGGUGGCUGUGGCAAACUCCCUGCUCCCUUUCCACUCUUUGAGGCCACACAUCAUUCUCCAACUAACAGGCCCCUUGUAUCUUCGCUUCCAAAAGAUUUCUGUGUCGUUCUAUAAUAUGUAAUACAAGUGGUAGAUUUUCCUAGUCCGUGACUUGCAGCGUGGACUCCAGCGCGGGAAUCCACGUCAGUUUUGUGUCGAGUUGGAUCUGACGUGGACUCUGUAUUUUUGAGUGUUACUGAAUGCAGGGGUGAUUCCUUUGGAUUCACUGUGCGGAAUCUACGUGGAAUCCUGAUUGGUUUCUAUUUAAUUGCUAGGUUUUUUUGUCUUUUGUCUUGUGGGUUUUCUAUCUUUGAACAUUUUUUUUUAAUGCGUGUGUGAAUUCAUUCUUCAGGAGUGGUUGGUGAUGCAGUUUUUUUUUUUUUUUUUUUUUUUCACUUUGCUUCAUGGACCCAUUUGUAUGCUUUCUUUGCAUCGUAGAUUACAUCAGUACGACACAAUUGUGUUUGGGUGAAGAUCACUUUUUUUUUAUAUUUAUAUAUAUUUAUAUAUUCAAAUUGAAAAUGGAAUAGCAUGCAUACAGGUUAGAAAACUUCUUCUUCUUCUUCCCCUUUUAAUUUAAUUUAAUUUUGUUUUUUUCUUUUCUUUUCUAUAUUUCAACCUUUGGAAUUGCGUAGACAGCACUAACAAAUUGCCAAGUACUGCCUUGAGAUCUACACAAAAUUAAGGACAAGUAUCAAAGGGUGUUUCAACUCCCAAGGACUAUUCUAAACUUAAAUGGGGUGUCUUGGGACCAUGAAACAUGUACUCCACACAUUGUCUCAUUCCUUAAAAGAUAAGUUAUGGUGACACCAUCCAUAGAAGUUUUGGAUGUGUUUACUGGUGUUUUUAAGAAGUUUUAAGAAUAUACUAAGAAUUUUAUGUUGUAUACAGAAUUUUACAUGUUUCAAGUGAUUCAAUUUAUUUAUUUAUUUUUAAAUCUGUAAUUGUGAAGAUGUUUUUAGAUCUUGAAAGUUUCACAAAAUAUUCAAAUAUUAAAACUACAAGAUCAUAUAAAAUAGCUCAGAAUAAGUAUUAUCAUUUUUAUUGUUUUUAUUUUUGCUUAACAAUUUGAGUCUUUUAAUUUGAUUUUAAAAAAUAUAUAUUAUUAUAACCAUUUAUUAAUUUUGUAUAUGGAUUAUUAAAAAGCUUAAGAAUUUUUUAUUUCAACUUUAAGUAAAUUGUAGCUUUAAAUCUCAAAUAACAUUUAUUAACAAUAAUCAUGAUAAGUAUCAUUUAUUUUGAAAUUAUUUUAUAUUAAUUUGGUGAUUUUCUUUGCUAAAAAAUAAUCCUUCAAUAUCUUUUCUAUAGACUUUAUAUUUUCUGAAUAUUAAAUUAUUAUAUGUGUACAUUCAUAAUUAUUAUGUAUACACACAAUCUUAUCUAAAAUUAUCAAUAAAAAAAAAUAGGUAUUUUAAAGAAAUUGUUUUUAUCUACCAUGUCAAAUAUUAAAAUAAGUUACUUUGUAGAAGAUAUUACCUUAGAUAAGUUGCUAAUAAUUAAAAGAUUGACUCUUAGUAUAUAGUAAAGACAUCCUAUGGAUAUAAGACGAGGUCAAGGGCCAAGAGUCAAAGUCAAGAGGAUAAAAUAUAAAUUUAAGAAUAUUCAAAGACUAUGUAAGAAUAAUUAGUAUUUAACAUAAGAUACCUUCUUAAUUAGUGAUAUGUCAAAAGAUUCUAAAACCAUUCAAUACUCUCAUCGUAAAUAAGAUGUCAAAGGGUCUUAGGACUAUGUUUAUAAAAAUUAAAGAGUGGAAGUUGUUUUUUAGGGCCACAACCAUCACCUAUAAGUAAUGAAUAUUAGAAGUAAAAGAUAUCUUAUUCUACACUUUCUUUGUGUAUAAUCUUAUUAAUGCUAUAUAUUAUAAUUUCAAAGUUCUUUUUUUUCAAUAAGUUAUGGGUCCACUCACCUUUAGUUUUGAAUUUUGAAGUUCUUUGAAGUCUUUUUUGUUGUAAAGAGUAGAUCUUAUAGUUAUUGCUGAUAUUAGGAUUUGGUAUCUUCUAAUGCCUUUUUUGCAUCUAAUUUUUGAUGUAGUUUUGCUCUUAUUUGUUUUUUAGUGCAUUCAUGGUCUUAGAGAUUGUUAGAUACCUUAGAAUGAUGUUUUAAAAUCCUAGUAAUGUGUUUCUUUGUUGAGUUUCAACAUUGAUAUACAAGAGAUUUAGAUAGAGUAUAAGUCUUGUGAGAAGUCUUAUAAGUGAAGUUAAGAUUUAUUAAAGAGUCAAAUCACUAGUUUACUUACAAAAAAGGUAUUUUAGGUUUCUAAGAUAGCAAUAUCUUCUUAUUGAUUUUGAAAGAUCUAUCUUUUUUUUUUUUCUUGAUUUUCUUUGAUAUACUUCUUUUUUAGACAUGGCUUUAAGAAAGGGUGAGAGCUUUAGAGUGAUUGAGAAGUUUAGAGGUGACAACUUCUACCAUUGGAAGAAAAAAAUGAACCUUUUAUUGACUUUAUAGGACCUUUGAGACACUAUUGAUGAAAGUGAAGAAUCUCUAAAGAACAAUGUUGAUAUCAUGGUAAAGAAAGAGUAAAAAUGUUGAAAAAAGAACUCUUUUGGAUUGAUUGCAAAAAAUCUUCAUGGUGCUAAUAUUUCACAUAUAAUUAUUUGCAAUGGAUGAACAAAAGCAUAGAAGUCUUUAUGCAAUAUCUAUAAAAGUAGAAAUCUUACCAAUAUUCUAUAAAUAAGGAUGAAGUUCUUAACAAUAAAGAUGGAAGAAAGAGAUGUCUUCAUAGGUCAUAUCAAUAAGAUAAAAAUACUUGCAAAUCAAUUAGAAGUUGUUGUCCUACCAAUUUUUGAUAGAGAAAUUUGCUUGACAUUAUUUAUGAACCUUUUGGAAUCCUAUAACUAAUUUAAUGUAGCAUUAGAAUCUAUCAACAUUAAGGAACUUAUCAUGAAUUAUAUCACGUCAAGACUUCCUUAUGAAAUAACCAAGAGAAAAGAAAAUGAGCUUCAAAGUAGAGAUUCAAUUCUAUUCUUAAGACAAGACAAAAGUAACUAUUUUUAUUAAUGUGAUAAUUUAAAAAGAAAUAUGAGAAAUUACUAUAUUUAUAAAAAAAUCAUGUCAAUUUAUAAGAAAUUACUAUAUUUAUAGAAAAUCAUAUCACUUUGUAAAAAAAUUCUAUAAAGUCAAGAAAAUAGAUAAGAAGAACGUAAAUAAUCUUCAUAAUAGUUUUGGUAGAAAUGACUAUGCUUUCAUAACAAGUAAAGGAGCCUCUAUGCCUACCAUGUUUAAGUGGAUUAUAGAUUUGAAUGCUAUUAAGGACAUGAUACCAUAAAAGUAUUUAUUUGAUAUUAAUGAAGCAAUUUCAACAACAAAAAUUUGGUUCAAAGACAAUGGUAUGGUGUAAAUAAUUAAAAUUGACUCCAUUAUAGUAGAGAUUGUUGUCAAGGAUAAAAUAAAGAAGAUCAUAUUAAAGAAAGUCUUACACAUGCCAAAAAUGAAGAAGAAUCUCUUUUUGGUGAGCAAACUUGUAUUAUAUGGUCAUAAGAUUUAAUUUGACAUAAAUGGCUAUUUUAUGAAGAUAUUGGAUGGACAAGAUGUUGCCAAAGACUUUAAAAAUAGUAACAUCUACUUUUUUAAUUAUAAAAAUGUCAAUGGAGUUAAAGUAGUAAUAUUUAUUGAAUUUCUUUAAGAUCAAGAUAAAUUUGAAAUUUGACAUCAAUUAUUUAGUUAUUUAAAUAUCAAAAGCAUGAAGAAUCUCUAAUCUAUAGUAAGUAGCUUGGAUCUUAGUCAAUUUAGCUACAAUGCAAUGACACUUAUUUGUGAAGGUUAUAUACAAGGUAAACAACAAAGAACUUUAUUUUUAAGUAGUGUUGCAAUACGUAUUAGCAAAUUAUUGAAGAUUUUAUAUUUUGAUAUUUAUCAACCAAUGAAGAUGCCAUCAAUUAGAGAAGUAAAUUACUUUGUCAUAUUUAUUGAUAAUGUUUUAAGAAAGAUGUAGAUUUACAUUCUUAAAAUUAAGAGUGAAUAUUUCUCCAGAUUUAAGAAUUUAAAGUACUUAUGGAAAAGCAAUAUGAAUGGAAGUUCAAAAUAUUAUACAAAGACAAUGGAAGUGAGUAUAUGUAAAAGUAUUCUAAUGAAUUUUUGAAGAUUCACGGUAUUAGAAUAGAAACCUCUUUUCUUUACAUUUUACAACAAAAUAAAGUUGCUGAAAGAUCAAAUUAUACCAUUGUAGAGAUGGUAAGGAAUAUGCUUCAUAUGCAAAAUCUUAGGCAUGAGUAUUGGACCAAAGCUAUUUUAAAUAAAAUAUAUAAAAAUAAUAGAUUUCUUAUAAGUAUAUUUACAUCAAUGAUUCUAUAAAAAGCUUAGAAUGGCAAAAAAUCUUAUGUUUUAUACAUGAUGAUUUUUAAAUGCAUUGCUUAUACAAAAAUAACCAAUUGUAUGAAGUCCAAACUUGAUACAAAAGGUACAAAAUGUGUGUUUGUUAGAUAUUGUAGAGAUAUUAAGGCAUAUAAGCUAAUGUAUUUAAAAACCAAAAUAUUCAUCAAGAAUUAUAAUGUAGAACUUUUGGAGCAUAAAAAUGCUUGUGAGCACUUGGAGAUGUAUCUAAGUGGGAGUAAUGAUGUGUUUGUGGAUACAUCUUUGAUUUUAGCAAAGAAAAAAAGAGAAGAUGAUGAAAAUGAAGAUGGUGGAAAUAUAAAUAAAAAUGAAGUGUCAGCAAAGAUAGGCCAAAGUGUGUCUAUAAUUGCUAAAAUCAAGAAUAAACACAAUCAAGAUGUUGAAGAUAUUAAUGAUGAAGAAUACCAACUUUUGAAUAUGAAGAGAUAAGUUUUAAGAAAAAAGAAGCUUAUAAGAGAUCUUGAAAUGUAUAAAAGUGAAUCUUCAUCAAGUAAAGAAAGUAUCCUAUGAAAGAAAGUAAAUAACUUGGUGAAUGAUAGAAGAAUCACAUCUUUCUUCAAGUAAGUAAAGAAUAUGCUAGUAUUGCACUUUAUAUUGAUCCAUUAGAUUUAUAUGAUGCAAUGAAGUCUAUGGAUGCUAUAAAGUGAGAGAAUGGUAUGAAAGAAGAGUGCAAAUCAUUUAUAGAUAAUGAAAUAUGGAAAUUGAUUCGACUUUUAUCAAAUUAAUUUUUGAUAACUUAUAAUUAAGUAUUUAAAACCAAAAAGGAUGCAAUGAACAAUCUUAUGAGAUACAAAGCUGGAUUGAUUGCCAAAAACUAUUCACAAGUUAAUAGUAUUAAUUUCAAUGAGAUAUUUGUUCUUGUAACUAAAUUCACCACCAUUAAAAUUAUUGUGACAAUUGGAACAAUAAUGAACUUGGAGAUGCAUCAAAUAGAUGUGAAGACAAUUUUUUUAAAUGGAAAAUUAAAAGAAGACAUCUAUAUAGAUUAACUUCAAGGAUUUGUUGAAAAAUUCAAAAAAUAUCUUAUUUAUAAGUUAAAAAAAUCUUUAUAUAUGGUUAAAUAAUCACUAAAGAUAUGGUAGUAAUGUAUUGACACAUUCUUUGUGAAUAAAAGGUUUUUUAGGAGUGAAAUUGAUUAUUCAAUGUAUGUGAUGAAAUCAAAUGAGUUUUUAUUGAUUGUCAUGCUCUAUGUUAAUGAUUUCAUCAUCUUAAUCAUUACCUAAAAGGUGAUGGUUUAAUUAAAAAUAAAGUUAAAAAAAGAGUAUGAGAUGACUGAUUUGAAAGAGCUUCACUAUCUUUUAGGAGUAGAGCUUGUAAGAGAUUAUGCUAAGAAGACUAUUACAAUGAGUCAAAGCAAGUAUAUUAAAGAGAUAUUGAAAUAAUUCAACAUAGAGGACUGUAAGCCUAUUGGAACAUAUUUAGUGGCCAAUUUGAAGUUGAUGAAAUUUACGAAUGAAAAAUUUGGUGAAGUUGAAGGUGAAGUAUAAGGUAUUCUAUACAAGGUAGCAGUAGGCUUAUUUAUGUAUAUAAUGGUUGGCACAAAGAUGGAUCUUAUAUAUAUAAUAAGUGUUAUAAGCCAACACAUGUCAAAGACUAGAUCAAUCCAUUAGACAACCAUAAAAAUGAUCAUGAGGUACUUAAAAGGUACAUUAUAUUUCAAAUUGUGCCUUGGAGGUGAUAAUAUUACUUUGCAUGGUUAUUAUUAUGCAGAUUAGGCUAAAAAUACAAAUGAUAGAAGAUCAAAAAUAGAAUAUGUAUUUUUUGUGGAAUAAGAGUUAUUUCAUGGAAUUGCAAGAGACAACUAAUAAUUACAAGGUCAACAAUAGAAGCAAAAUAUAUAACAAAAAGCUAUAGUAUAAUAGAAAUAAUAUAGCUAAGAUAAUUUUUUGAGGACAUUGGAAUAAUACAAAUAGAAGCAAAUUCAAUAAAGUCUACCAAUCAAGAAUAUCUCAUUUUUAUGAAGAAUCCAAAGUAUCAUUCAAAGAUCAAGCACAAUGAUAUUCAACAUGACUUCAUAAGAGAGAAGAUUAAAAUAUAAGUGAUUGACAUGAGAUAUUAUGCAAUAAAAGACAUAUUUGUUGAUUUAUUGACAAAAUGUCAAAGACAUGAAUCUUGAAGAAAGAAAAUUCUCAAUACAUUAUUUUAUCAAUGAAGAAAACUAAAAAGUCACUCAAGAGGUGAUGUAAUAUUUAAUCAGAAUGGCUAUUGCCAAAAAUAAGAGAACUAAAAAAUCUUAGAAUAAGACUAAGGACUUGAAAGGUGUUGACAAGAGUGAAGAAGGCUUCAUUCUUGCCUCCUUAUAUACUUAUAACUAGAAGCUAUAUGGCAAUGUGCUAUAGGACUUCUAAAAUAUGUUGACUUUGCUAACCAUAUGUCUUAAUUUGUAAAGCAAGUUUUUUAUAUAUGUGCCACAUAAUUAGCUUCUUCUAUAAGCUACUGCAUUAAAUUAAUUUGUUUUAUAAGCUACUAACAUGUGGUUAGCUUGUUGGCCAAGUUUCUAAUCUACAAAUAUAUCUAAAGUCAAAACCGCAGCUAUGAAGCUUCUAGAAAACUUUUCUAAAAGACUUUAUGAAAUUAAUUUAUAUUUAUCUACUUCUAUCUAAUCAUAUAAGAAACUAUCUAGGUAAAUGUAUAUGUCCAUGAUAUUACUUCUUCUUCUAUGGACGAGUUCCAUGAGGAGUGGUCAUCAUCUUUCAUAUAACUUUGUAAUUCUUUAUCUUGAUUUUGAUGGAUGUCGUCGAUGAAAGGCCUCAACAUUUUUUUUUGCAUUUGCAAGAUUCUUUACUGGGUGCCAUGUACGUUUGCUAAGAUCAUAUUUAUGCUAAUGAAUAAGAUAUUCUAACCUAUUUUGAUGCUAUCUUGAAUCUAAGACUUCUUUCACCUCAAAUAUCAUAUGAUUGUACAAAGUCUUUUAUCGCCUUCUACAUUUGCGGCAACCAAAAAUCUCUAGAUAUAAGCUCUAAAGUCUUAUUAUAUCCAAAAUGUCCUGUUGUUAGAAAGUCAUGACAUGCUUGAAGAACAUAUAAAUGUGCUUCUCCUUCUGGAAUAUAUAAGCAUGUUUUGAAAUAGAAAAGAUUGUUCUCGAACUCGAACUUUGAAAUAAAGUGAAACUUAAAAGGAAGGUUCUUCAAAUCGUGAACAAGAGGAUCAAAGGACAUACUUAAUUAGAUUUGCUUGAUAAAGGUUGAAUCAACAAUUAAUGUUGACUUUAUUGCUCAAAGAUGAAAAUGCUCCAACUUUAAGAAAAUUAUUCUUUGUUGAUCAAAAGAUGCAUCUCUUUCUUUUGGUGCAAGAUAAGAACAUUUCAAAAGGACAUUUAAUAGACCUUGUUGUUUUUUGGAUUGAUAAGUAAUCUUGAAAUUGAAUCUGGACAAAGACAUACUCCAACGGGCUUCAUAACAAUUCAAAACACGUGUUGACAUGAAGUACUCAAGAUUCUUAUGAUCCGUAUACAUGAUAACUAGACUUGAAGCGUCUUUUAGAUAAUAAUGCCAUUCUUAAAAUGAAUCCAUGAUUCCAAGAAGCUUUUUGUCAUGAAUCUCGUUAAUUUUGGCUACUCAAAAUUUCUUGGAAUGAAAAGCUACUAGGUAGAGUUUAUUAUAUGUUCCCAUUUGGGACAAUAUGGCACCUAUAGCAAAGUCUAACACGUCUAUUUCCAUAAAAAAUGCCUUGAAAAAAUCAACACAAUAUAAGAUUGGUACUAAAGUAAACUCUUUUUUUAAAGUAUCAAAUUAUGCUUCUGCUUCUUUAUUCCACUCAAGUUUGUCUUUACAAGUCAAAUGUGUUAGUGGAGUUGUAACUUGAAAAAAGUUCUUGAUGAAGAUUUGGUAGUAAUUAAUAAAGCCUAAAAAUCAUUGUACAUCUCAUACUAUUCUUGAAAUCUUCUUAUCUAUGAUAGUUUGGACUUUUUUGGGAUCCAUCAUAAGGCCUUUGUUAGAAAUGAUGUAUCCUAAAAAGUCAACUUGAGUAGCAUGGAAUACACACUUUUCUAACUUGAGAUAAUUUUGUAUCUCUAAGUUUUUUAACAUACAACGAACAUGAAGUUUAUAUUCUUCUGUAUUCUUACAGUAGAUUAGAAUGUCGUCUAAAUAGCAAACAAAAAAUCAUCUAAAAAUUCACAAAAAAUAUCAUUCAUAAGAUGUUGAAAAGUGGUUGAUGCAUUUAUCAAUCCAAAAGAUACGAUAUUAUAUUCAAAAUAUCCAUACCUAGUUCAAAAAGUAGUCUUGUAUUCUUCUCGUUCUUUGAUAUGAACUAAGUUAUAUGCUCUUUGUAGAUCUAUUUUCGUAUAGAUCUUUGUUUGAUUGAGUUGGUCAAGAAGUCUUGAAAUCAAAGGCAAAGGAUACCUAUUUUUGAUGGUGAUCUUAUUGAAUCUUUGAUAAUCCACACACAUCCGUAAAGAUCCAUCUUUUUUCUUUACAAAUAAGAUAGGAGCUCUAACUAGAGAUUUAGAAUGGCAUAUGAAGUUCUUUGCCAAGUUUUCAUUAAUGUAUUCUAUUAAUGUAGCCAAUCCAUUUUACAACAAGCUAAAGAUUGAUCCAAGUAGUAGUUGAGCUCCUUCUUACAGAUCAAUUGAACAAUCAUAAGAUUGAUGUUUUAGAAGAAUAUCUUCAUUCUUUUUUUUUCAAAAAUAACUUAUAAUUCUUGAUAUUGGCUAGAAAUACCACUUGAUAUUUUUCCAUUAGUAGAAAUGAAUGUAGCAUAUAUAGCAAAAGAUGAUCCUUCUUUUGCGGCAUGUCUAAAAGCUCUUGCACCUACUAGUAAAGGUUUGGAUAUACUAGACUUUAUGUACUUCUACUUUAUUAACCCAAUUUUCGAUUAUACUACGAAAAAAGUUAAGAUUAUAAGAAAUCUAAUCUAUUUUAGAGUUAUAUUUUUCUAGCCACAAUAAUCCUAGAAUAAUCAUAUUAGAGAGAGAUCUUAUUAUAUUAAAUACUACUAUGCUGUUAUGAUCUUUAAUUGUUACAUCUAAAGGAACAAUCUCAUGGAUAACAUUUCUAGAAGACAACGAAUGACCAUCUAUGACUUCUACAUGUAUACAUUUAUUUUUCUUGAUUAAAGAUAUUUUUUGAUUUUUGACAAAAUCUUUGUCUAUAAAACACGUUGAGGUUCUUGAAUCUAAUAAGAUAAAGACUUUGUGAUUUUUAAGUCCUAAACAUACAUGUAUUAUAAAACAAGGUGAAGGAUCUGAGGAAAGAAUAAGACCUUUAUUAAGUAUUGCAUAUGAUUCCAGCUACAUAGUUCCUAUUAUAGUUGAAAAAACUUGUUUUCUGACACAUUAUCUUCUUUGGUAAUUGUGUUCUUCAUUUUGUAACUAUGUUGCUUCUUUGGACAAUAUUGAGUAGUGUGCUUAGUUUCUCCAUAAUAUAAAUACAAACCUUCUUAGCGAUGUCGAGUUUUUUCCUACUCCAUAAUGGUUUAAAACAUAUUGUAUCAAUUUGAUUUGGUUCCAUCCUUAAUGAAUAUGUUUCAGUAAACUUCAAAGUUGCUGCCAUUACGUAACUUGUUCCUCUCCAGCCAAGUCUUUGUUCUUGAUGCCUUUCAAAUAAUUGCUUGUUGCAUGCAAUGGCUCGAGUAAUAAAUUGUUUCAAAGAUUUUGCUUUUGAUAUUAUUAAUAACAAAUCUUCAAUGCUAUCUUUCAACCCAUAUCAAAAUUGAUUGAUAAGUGCUUUUUCAUUUCAGUCCACAUUGCAAGAAAGGUUUUGGAAUUUAGCAGCAUAUAUGGUGGCUGACCGUGAUUCUUGUCAUAAAGUUAAGAGUUUGGUCUCUAUUACUCUUUCUCAAUCAAUUUCUUCAAAUGUGGCCAUAAAUACUUCUAAGAAUGAAUUCAAAUCAUAAAAAAGUCGUAAAUCUUUCUCCAUUAAAUGUACAAAUCAAGAGAGAGCAUUUCUUGAUAGAAGUGUACCUAUGAAUCUGACUUGAAUAAAUCCAUCGAAAUAUUUGGAAAGAUGUAACCUUAAAUAGAGCUUGAAUUGUUGCAAAAAUCCUUGAAAUUUUAAUCUUGUUCUAUCGAAGUUCUUAGGCAUACUAAUCCUUGCUCUUAUCAUACUUAUAGGAGGAAAAUUUUCUAGAUUUGGUUGUAAGGUCAAUCUACUUCCUUCCUUUAACUGCACAAUUUCUUACUACAUACUUUGAACUUUUUCUAUAGGCAUAGGUAUAGUAUUUCCAUGAUUCACGUUGGAAAUACAUGAGAUUUUUACUCUUAGGAUAUUGAUAAGUUCAUGAAGAUCUGUAAUAGUUAUAAAUCUAUUUUCACUUCCAUUAAAAGUGGCAUCCAUAAUUUUUUCUUCUAUAAAUAAUUCAAAUAAAUUUAAAAAAUUAAAUUAAAAGAAAGUAAUCCGUAACUUCUAAUAAAAAUUUCCACAAAGAUGGAUAAUCCACUCUCUUAAAAGAAAAGAUUAGAAUUAAAAAAUAAGAUUUUUUGCUUAAAGGUGGAUGGUCUGUAACCUUCAAAACACAACAAUAGAAGUGAGAUAAUCCACUCACUUCUAAAACAAGACAAAAACAGUAUGUUAGUACUCUUGUCAAAUUAUCAAGGAUAUGAAUCUUGAAGAAAGAAAAUUCUCAAUACAUUCUUGUAUCACUGAAGACAACUAAAAAGUCACUCAAGAGGUGAUAUAAUAUUUAACUAGAAUGGCUAUUGCCAAAAACAAGAAGACUAAAAAGUCUUAGAACAAGAUUAAGAACUAUAAAGGUGUUGACAAGAGUAAAGAAGGCUUCACUCUUACCUCAUAUACUUAUAAUUAGAAGCUACGUAGCAAUAUCCUAUAGGACCUCCAAAACAUGUUGACUUUGCUAACCACAUGUCUUAACUUACAAAGUAAGUUAUCUAUGUAUGCGCCACAUAGUUAGCUUCUUCUACAAGCUACUACAUUGAAUUAACUUGUUCUACAAGCUACUAACACAUGAUUAGCUUGUUGGUCAAGUUUCUAACCUACAAAUAAAUCUAAAGUCAAAACCACAUCUAUAAAGCUUCUAAAAAACUUUUCUAAAAGACUUUAUGAAGUUAAUCUAUAUUUAUCUAUCUUUAUCUAAUCAUAUAAGUAACUAUUGAGAUAAAUGUAUAUGUCCAUGACACAAAGAUAUUAUUAAAGGAUAGGCAUCACAUAUUGACAAAGAUGUUAGAAUUAAAAGCUUUUAACAAAUAGCAAAGUGAGAGUAUUAAAAUAAAUAAAUAAAAGUGAAAGUAGAAUAAAUUAUCUUAUAGAAAAUAUUAUCUUAAGUAAAUUAUUAAUAGUCAAAGUAUUGAUUCUUGAUAUGUAAAAAAGACAUCAUAUGGAUACAAGAUAAGGUCAAGGGCCGAGAGUCAAAGUCAAGAAGAUAAAUUAUCAAUUAAAAAAUAUCCAAAGACUAAAUAAGAAUAAUUAAUAUUUGGUAUAAAAUAUCUUUUUAAUUAAUAAUAUGUCAAAAGAUCCUAAGACCAUAAGAUAUUGUCAUAGAAAUAUAUUUAUUGUAAUUGUUACCUUGAUAAUAUGAAUAGAUAGAAGUAGGUAAAAUAGAUUAAUUUCAUAAUAUCUUUUAAAGAAGCUUCUUAGAAGCUUUAUAGAUGUUGCUUUAAUUUUAUAUGUAUUUUUAAUUAAUUAAGAGGUUAGAAACUUAGUCAACAAGCUAAUUACAUGUCACACAUGUUGGUAGCAUAUAGAACAAGCGAACUAUGUGGCACCCAUAUAAAAAACUUACCUUGUAAGUUAAAAUACAUGUGUUACAAAGUUAGAGGUCCUAUAGAACGUCGCCAUAUAGUUCUUGUGCAGAUAGUAUAUAUAGAGGUAAGAAUGAAGUCUUCUUUACUAUUAUCAAUUCUUUUCUUGUUUUUAGUGUAGUUUCAAGAAUCUUCACUUUUUUUGUCUUUUGGCAAUAGCUAUUUUAAUUUCUUUUUAAUAUAGAUAUUUUAUUAUUUUUAUUUUUUCAUACUUCUUAAAAAAAAUCUCACUUAUUUAUUUGCUUUUAUCGAGUUUUUUUCCUUAACAAAUUGACAAGAAUACACUUAUAAUAUCAAAGCUUUGUCUUUUUUUGAUUAAAAAUGGAUUAUCUCUUUAAAUUGAUAAUACAUAUGUAUAUUUGAAGUUAUGGAUUAUCUUCUUUUAAAAUAAUAUUAUUUUUUUUUAUUUUCAAGUUCUUUCAUUUACAUGUCUUGAGUAAUAUUAUAUAUCUUUUUUUUUCUAAGUAUUAUUAUAGCAAAGCUUAUUAAAAUAAAGAGUGCAAUGGUAUAAAUAUAAGUACAAUUAAAGGAGGUAAUGCUUACAAUGCAUCAACUCAAUUUAUCACUACAAAAAAAAACAAAAAAAACAAAAAAAAACAAAAAUCAAGGUAUAAAGAUGAUUUAGACCAAAUCAUAUCCUUUCUCCUAUAGUAGAAUAUUAUUCAAGCACUAAAGAACUAAAAAUUGCCUUACUUGAAAAGUUUGAUGGUAGAAGAUUAAAGUUUUGAAUAUUCAUCAAUAAAAUACACCUAACAAUUAAACUUCAACCUCAAAGCUAUCCAACUCCAACAUCACAAGUAAACUUUAUUAAAAUUCUAUUUUUUUAGUUUUGUACUAUCAUAGUUUUUAUCUUUUCUUCAACGACAUGAUCUAAUAUUGAUAAUUUGAAAGCUUUCUUGAGAGAGUUUCAAUCCAUGUAUGGAAGACAUGAUGCAAUUUGUAUUGCAAUAAAUAAGAUUCAUGUUUUAUGACAAAAAAACCAAUCUGUAAUAUUAUAUGUUUUAUAAUUUAUACAACUUUUAAUUGAUAUCAUGUAAAAUGAAAUUACACUCAUUAGCAAAUUUCUUUUUAAAUUAUAAUAUGUGAUAAAAAUUAAUUUACUUAAUCCUCAAACAUUGAAUCAGGUAAUUGAUUUUGCUAUAAAGUGUCAUAAUCAACUUUUUGAAUUUUGGUAUAAGAAUCAUAUAAGUAAGCCUCAAUAUUAAUACAAUUAAAUGGAAACACUAACUUCAUUUUAAUACAUACCUUCAAAAGUAGAGGAUAUGCAAAUUAAUGCAAUACAUUGUCCAAGUAGAGAGAAUUUGCCUUAAGAAAGCAAUGGGCUUCUAGUUGUCACUAAUUACUCAAAAAAGUCUCAAGAUAAAAAAAAAAAUACCAAGUUUAUAUAUAAAAUUAUUCCUAUAAGUGCAAGUACAUCAAUACAUAAGCCUUAAGUACCAAAGAUCACCAAAAAUAUAAUAAAAAUAUUAUAAAAACUUAUAUAUCCUUAAGGUGAAUUUUUUUCAAACUUCAACACCUCAUAUCUCACGAUCAAGCCAUCCAAACAAACCAAAAUUUUACAUGAAGUAUUGACGUACUUUCAACAACUACUACAACAAAUUUUAAUUAGAAAUUUAUUACGGAACUUAAGAUAUUGCCAAAAUCCUAAUGAUAGCUUUAAAUCCUUGCUUAUAUAUAUAUAUAUAUAUAUAUAUAUAUAUAUAUAUAUGAAAAUUUCUUCAUAUCUCACAAAUUAAAUAAUCAAAUACCAUAAAAUUUUAAUAUAUAAUUUUUUAACCUAAUAACAUAUACUUUUAGAAAUUUUGAGCCAAAAAUCCAUCCAAAAACUCAAGAUAUGGCUCCAACCAUUACUAUCAACAAAACGAGUUACUUACUGCCUUUGAAUUACAUAUAUUGUCUUUAAUAUUGUAUAAUUCCUUCAUUAAAACUCUAAAUACAAAAAUUCUUUCAUAAAAGAUGUAGAUCUUAAAAUUAUCCUUGUGGCGGCACCUUUUGAUUUCCAAAUUCUAUCAUAAAACUUCUUAUAUCUUCAAAUGAGUAAUAAUAUAUCUAAAAAAGAUAUCUUAACUUCAAAUGGCUAUAAUUUCAUCAUCCUAACUUCAAAUCCUCUAAACUUUGUAUAAAAAUUAUAGUCCAAAUCUUAAAUCUUAUAAUCUUUAUUUUUUAUUUUCAAAUGUUUCUUUUGAAGUUGCCAAAAUCCUUGUUAUGGUUGCAGAUAGCUUGUUGAAUGCUUAUUGGACAUGGCUUUUGAUCAAUAGGGAUGAAAAUCUUCACCUUUUACUUUCAUCCAUCUAUAUCUUGCUUUCAUUCCUCCAAAUAAGUUUUUUAAAGAUUUGGAUCUUUAUCUUUGAGUUCCAAUCUUUUCCUUAAAUUUUAUACUAAAUAUCUAAAUCCUACAUAAUUUAAAUAAUAUAAUCAACAUAAAUAAAUCUCAAAAUAAAUUUUCUUACAUUAAUUUUCUUUAAAUUAACCUAUUAACUACUUAAAUGCACAUCAAUAUUUAUAAAUAUAUUAUAUAUUUUAUUUAAUUUUUAUAUAGUAUAAAUAAUUAUAAUAUGAUAAUAUUUCAAAUUUCUUACUAAGUAAGAAAAGACUUCUCAUUAUUAAAAAGGAUCGUAUUUAUAUUAUAGAGAACCAAAGCACAUUACUCAACAAUAUCCAAAGAAAGAACAUUAUCAUGAAAUAAAAAGUGUAACUGUCAAAGAAGACAAUAUAUUAGAAAAAAAAAAAUUUAGCUACAAUAGAGAUUGUGCAGUUGGAAACUUGUACAACACCUAAUGAAGGUUCUAUUGUCUAUUCAAAAUCUUCUUUUUGUUUUAUAAUAGAUAUUAGUUUAAGACCUAAAUAUCACAAAGCCUUUGCUUUAGUAGAUUUAAGAGCUUCAUCUUAUUUUUUAGAUGUAGAGAUUAUUGAAAGACAUACCAUACUAUUUGUAAAGAAAACAAAACAUGUUCAUGUAGAAGUCAUAGAUGGUCAUCUGUUGUCCUCAAGAAACAUUACUCAUAAAAUAUUUCUUCUAAAAGUAGUAAUUAAUGGUCAUAGUAGUUUUGUAGUAUUUAAUAUCAUUAGAUCUCUUUCUAAAUUAGUCAUUUUAAAUUUAUUAUGAUUAAAAAAGUAAAAUCUUCAAAUAGAUUAGAUUUCUUAUAGUCUUAAUUUUUUUAAAAUUAUAAUUAAGAGUAUAGUUAAUCAAGUAGAAAGUCAUAAAUCUAGUACAACCAAACUAAUAUGUGUGGAUACAAGAGCUUUUUUGCAUGUUGCAAAAAAUGAUCACCUUGUAUCAUUUAUGCUAUACUUAUUUUUAAUAGUGGAAAGACUUCAAAUGAUAUUUUAAAUUAGUAUCAAGAUUUUCAAGAUGUAUUUGAAAAGAAGCAUGAAAAUAUUCUUUUAGAACAUUAUUCCUAUGAUUGAUCAAUUAACCUUUAAGAAAGAACUUAGUUGCCAUUUGAAUUGAUCUAUAAUUUAUCAUAAAAUGAAUUGCCUAAAUUCAAAGAAUAUAUUGAAGAAAAUCUAGCCAAAAACUUCAUAUGCUAUUCCAAAUCUCUAGCAUGAGUUCUAAUUUUAUUUAUAAAAAAAAAAAAAAAAAAAAAAAAAAAAAAAAAAAAAUGAUCAUUGUAGAUGUCUAUCAAUUAUUGAAGGCUCAAUAAGAUCACCAUCAAGAACAUGUAUUUGCUACGUUAGUUAUUUGGUCUUCUUCAUUAAUUGAAUUAAGCUGAGAUCUAUAUAAAAAUAGAUCUAUAAAAGGUAUAUAAUCUAGUACUUAUUAAAGAAAGAAAUAAAUAGAAAACUUUAUUUUAAAUCAAGUAAAGACAUUUUCAAUAUAAUAUCAUUUCUUUUGAACUUAUAAUUGCAUCAGUAGCUUUUCAACAUCUGAUGAAUAAUUUCUUUUGAGAGUUUUUAAGAUGAUUUUAUUAUUUUUUGUUUAAAUAACAUCUUAAUCUAUUUUAAGAAUAUAGAAGAAUAUGAACUUCAUAUUUGUCAUGUAUUACAAAAACUAAGAGAUGCAAAACUCUAUGCCAAGAUAAAUAUAUAUAUAUAUAUAUAUAUAUAUAUUACUCUAUUGAAGUUGAUUUUUUAGGAUACAUUAUUUCAAAUGAUAGAUUUAUGACAGAUCUUUAAAAAAAUUCAAACUAUUAUGGAUUAAAAGAUCUUAAAUAUGAUAAAAAAACAAUUCCAAUUAUUUAUAGAAUUUUUCAACUACUAUUAAAUCUUUAUUAAGGACUUCUUUUAAGUUGUAGCUCAAUUUAUGUAUUUGACUUGUAAAAACAAACUUAAAUGGAAUAAAGAAGCAAAAGAAGUGUUUGAAGCUUUAAAAAAAGCUUUUGUUUCUAUACCAAUCUUAUAUUAUAUUAAUUUUUUUAAGCCAUUUUGUAUGAAAAUAGAUGCAUCAAACUUUGUUUUAAGUGCUGUAUUGUCACAAACAGGAACAAAUGAUAAACUUAACCUGAUAGCUUUUGUCACGGAUAUAUGCAUGUAACCCAGUAAAUACAUGUAUAAAUAUAUAGAAGUAAGUAAAAAUAAGUAAAAAUAAGUUAAUUCUAUAGUAUUUAAUAUGGAAGCUUUUCAGAAGCUUCAUAGACAUUGCUUUGACUUUAUAGGUAUCUUUAAUUGACUUUUUGGAUUAGAAACGUGGUCAACAAGUUGGCCAUGUGCCACACAUGUUGUUAGCUUGAAGACCAAGCUAACUAUGUGGCCCACACUUAGAAAAACUUGCAUUGUAAGUCAAGACAUGUGUCCUACAAAGUCAACACAUAUUGGAGGUUCUAUAGAACGUUGCCAUAUAGCCCUUAGUUAGAUAGUAUAUAUAGAGACAAGAGUGAAGCCUUCUUCAUUCUUGUCAACUCCUUUCUUACUUCUAGUCUAGUUUCAAGGAUCUCUAGUUUUCUUGGCUUUUGGCAAUAGCCAUUCCAAUUUCUUUCUUAAUAUACAUAUCAAUUUAUUUAUAUUUUACCAUCUUUCUUUGAGAGAAGUCUUACUUAUUUAUUUGUUUUUAUCAUAUUCUUGUCCUUGACAGAUUGACAAGAUAAUACUUACAAUAUCAGAGCUUUGUUUAAUCUUGAUUAAGAAUAGAUUACUCCUUUCUCUUGAUAAGACAUAAGCAUAUUAAAAGUUACAAAUUACCCUCUUGUAAAUUGAUAUUGUCCUUAGUAUUUUCUUUGUUCUCAAGUCCUCUCUUCUAUUUGUUUUGAGCGAUAUUAGACAUCUUCUCUUUUUUAAGUGUUAUCAUGGCAGAACUUACUGAAAUGAAGAAUACAAUAGCACAAAUGUAAGAGCAAUUGAGGGAGUUAAUACUUGCGAUGCAUCAACUCAAUUUACCACCACAAAGAGCAAUAAGAUUGGCACGAAGUGAAGAUAUAGAAAUGAUUGGAGUUGCUUCAACAUCUGUACCAAAUCAUAUCCCUUCUCCUAUGGUGGAACGCCCUUCCAGUAUUAGAGAACCAAGAAUUGCCCUACCCAAGAAGUUUGAUGGCACCAAAUCAAAGUUUUGAGGAUUUAUCAAUCAAGUACAACUUAUGAUUAAACUUCAACCCCAAAGCUAUCCAAUUCUAGGAUCGUAAGUUAGAUUCAUUAGUACGCUUCUUUCACGUUCAAUAAUAUCAUGAUUUUUAUCUUUUCUUGAACAACAAGAUCCAAUAUUGGAUAAUCUAGAGGCUUUUUUGGUAGAGUUUUGAUCCAUGUAUGGAGAACAUGAUGUAAUUCAUGUUGCAACUAAUAAGAUUCAUAUUUUACUAUAAGAUAAUCGAUCAGUAAUGUUGUGUGCUUUACAAUUUUGAAAACUUGCAACUGAUAUCAAGUAGGAUGAUACUGCACUUAUUAGCCAAUUUUUCAACGGAUUACAAUAUGAGGUAAAAAAAUUAAUGCUCAACUUACUUGAUCCUCAAACAUUGAGUCAAGCAAUUGACUUUAUUGUAAAGUG